CCCAGUGUUCAGACUACCUGUUCAGGAUGAUACUGGUGUACAGUAGUCUGCACAUUGGUUA
rnacentral:pre_miRNA from 1 species